rnacentral:snoRNA from 12 species
ACCUGGUGAAGAAACACUCAAAUAUCUUACCUCCUGUCCUAGUCCCAGAGCCUGCAGAAGUGAACCUACUGGGACUGGCUGGGGGAAAAAAGAGGACUUUUGUUCCAGCAGGAACUGUCUGAGGGAU